GCCGAAGUGGUGGAAUUGGUAGACACGCUGCCUUCAGGUGGCAGUGCCCUUUGGGCGUGGGAGUUCGAGUCUCCCCUUCGGCA
rnacentral:tRNA from 1 species